GCAGCCGCCGCGGUAAAACGGAGGGCGCGAGCGUUACCCGGAUUUACUGGGCGUAAAGGGCGUGUAGGCGGCCUGGGGCGUCCCAUGUGAAAGGCCACGGCUCAACCGUGGAGGAGCGUGGGAUACGCUCAGGCUAGAGGGUGGGAGAGGGUGGCGGAAUUCCCGGAGUAGCGGUGAAAUGCGCAGAUACCGGGAGGAACGCCGAUGGCGAAGGCAGCCACCUGGUCCACUUCUGACGCUGAGGCGCGAAAGCGUGGGGAGCAAACCGGAUUAGAUACCCCCGUAGUCCCUGUCUCUUAUAC
rnacentral:rRNA from 1 species